rnacentral:rRNA from 1 species
GAUGAACGCUGGCGGCGUGCCUAAUACAUGCAAGUCGAGCGAACGGACGAGAAGCUUGCUUCUCUGAUGUUAGCGGCGGACGGGUGAGUAACACGUGGAUAACCUACCUAUAAGACUGGGAUAACUUCGGGAAACCGGAGCUAAUACCGGAUAAUAUUUUGAACCGCAUGGUUCAAAAGUGAAAGACGGUCUUGCUGUCACUUAUAGAUGGAUCCGCGCUGCAUUAGCUAGUUGGUAAGGUAACGGCUUACCAAGGCAACGAUGCAUAGCCGACCUGAGAGGGUGAUCGGCCACACUGGAACUGAGACACGGUCCAGACUCCUACGGGAGGCAGCAGUAGGGAAUCUUCCGCAAUGGGCGAAAGCCUGACGGAGCAACGCCGCGUGAGUGAUGAAGGUCUUCGGAUCGUAAAACUCUGUUAUUAGGGAAGAACAUAUGUGUAAGUAACUGUGCACAUCUUGACGGUACCUAAUCAGAAAGCCACGGCUAACUACGUGCCAGCAGCCGCGGUAAUACGUAGGUGGCAAGCGUUAUCCGGAAUUAUUGGGCGUAAAGCGCGCGUAGGCGGUUUUUUAAGUCUGAUGUGAAAGCCCACGGCUCAACCGUGGAGGGUCAUUGGAAACUGGAAAACUUGAGUGCAGAAGAGGAAAGUGGAAUUCCAUGUGUAGCGGUGAAAUGCGCAGAGAUAUGGAGGAACACCAGUGGCGAAGGCGACUUUCUGGUCUGUAACUGACGCUGAUGUGCGAAAGCGUGGGGAUCAAACAGGAUUAGAUACCCUGGUAGUCCACGCCGUAAACGAUGAGUGCUAAGUGUUAGGGGGUUUCCGCCCCUUAGUGCUGCAGCUAACGCAUUAAGCACUCCGCCUGGGGAGUACGACCGCAAGGUUGAAACUCAAAGGAAUUGACGGGGACCCGCACAAGCGGUGGAGCAUGUGGUUUAAUUCGAAGCAACGCGAAGAACCUUACCAAAUCUUGACAUCCUUUGACAACUCUAGAGAUAGAGCCUUCCCCUUCGGGGGACAAAGUGACAGGUGGUGCAUGGUUGUCGUCAGCUCGUGUCGUGAGAUGUUGGGUUAAGUCCCGCAACGAGCGCAACCCUUAAGCUUAGUUGCCAUCAUUAAGUUGGGCACUCUAAGUUGACUGCCGGUGACAAACCGGAGGAAGGUGGGGAUGACGUCAAAUCAUCAUGCCCCUUAUGAUUUGGGCCACACACGUGCUACAAUGGACAAUACAAAGGGCAGCGAAACCGCGAGGUCAAGCAAAUCCCAUAAAGUUGUUCUCAGUUCGGAUUGUAGUCUGCAACUCGACUACAUGAAGCUGGAAUCGCUAGUAAUCGUAGAUCAGCGUGCUACGGUGAAUACGUUCCCGGGUCU